AGCAGUGGGGAAUUUUGGACAAUGGGCGCAAGCCUGAUCCAGCAAUGCCGCGUGAGUGAAGAAGGCCUUCGGGUUGUAAAGCUCUUUUGUCAGGGAAGAAACGGUGAGAGCUAAUAUCUCUUGCUAAUGACGGUACCUGAAGAAUAAGCACCGGCUAACUACGUGCCAGCAGCCGCGGUAAUACGUAGGGUGCAAGCGUUAAUCGGAAUUACUGGGCGUAAAGCGUGCGCAGGCGGUUUUGUAAGUUUGUCGUGAAAGCCCCGGGCUCAACCUGGGAAUUGCGAUGAAGACUGCAAGGCUUGAAUCUGGCAGAGGGGGGUAGAAUUCCACGUGUAGCAGUGAAAUGCGUAGAGAUGUGGAGGAACACCGAUGGCGAAGCAGCCCCUGGGUCAAGAUUGACGCUCAUG
rnacentral:rRNA from 1 species